AGAAUCAACGCUGGCGGCGUGCCUAACACAUGCAAAUCGCACGAGAAAGGGUAGCAAUACCUGAGUACAGUGGCGCACGGGUGAGUAACACGUGAAUAAUCUACCUCCGAGUGGGGAAUAACUGAGAGAAAUCUUAGCUAAUACCGCAUAAUACCCACGGGUCAAAGCAGCAAUGCGCUUGGAGAGGAGUUCGCGGCAGAUUAGUUAGUUGGCGGGGUAAUGGCCCACCAAGACGAUGAUCUGUA
rnacentral:rRNA from 1 species